AACACUCAAAGACGGGUGCAAGAAUAAAUCCUCUUUUGCAACCCAAAACUCAUUGUGCAGUAUGAGUUUUGAUACAGAUAAGAAGGGACAUG
rnacentral:snoRNA from 1 species